GAUGAACGCUGGCGGCGUGCCUAAUACAUGCAAGUCGAGCGAACGGACGAGAAGCUUGCUUUUCUGAUGUUAGCGGCGGACGGGGGAGUAACACGUGGAUAACCUACCUAUAAGACUGGGAUAACUUCGGGAAACCGGUGCUAAUACCGGAUAAUAUUUUGAACCGCAUGGUUCAAAAGUGAAAGACGGUCUUGCUGUCACUUAUAGAUGGAUCCGCGCUGCAUUAGCUAGUUGGUAAGGUAACGGCUUACCAAGGCAACGAUGCAUAGCCGACCUGAGAGGGUGAUCGGCCACACUGGCACUGAGACACGGACCAGACUCCUACGGGAGGCAGCAGUAGGGAAUCUUCCGCAAUGGGCGAAAGCCUGACGGAGCAACGCCGCGUGAGUGAUGAAGGUCUUCGGAUCGUAAAACUCUGUUAUUAGGGAAGAACAUAUGUGUAAGUAACUGUGCACAUCUUGACGGUACCUAAUCAGAAAGCCACGGCUAACUACGUG
rnacentral:rRNA from 1 species